GAUGAAGAACGCAGCAAAAUGCGAUAAGUAAUGUGAAUUGCAGAAUUCAGUGAAUCAUCGAAUCUUUGAACGCACAUUGCGCCCGCCAGUAUUCUGGCGGGCAUGCCUGUUCGAGCGUCAUUUCAACCAUCAAGCCCCAGGCUUGUGUUGGAGCCCUGCGGCUGCCGCAGCCUCCCAAAACCAGUGGCGGGCUCGCUAUCACACCGAGUGCAGUAGUUUACUCUUCGCUCAGGGCGUGUGGCGGGUGCUAGCCGUAAAACCCCCAACUUCUCAAGGUUGACCUCGGAUCAGGUAGGAAUACCCGCUGAACUUAAGCAUAUCAAUAAGCGGAGGA
rnacentral:misc_RNA from 1 species